rnacentral:other from 1 species
GAUAACGUCAGGAAGAUGUUCAUCAGGAUGAUGUUGCGCGCUCAGGAAGAUGCGCCGACAGGAUCGCUUCAGGAUGAAGCAGACAGCUCCAGGAUGGAUGAACAGGGACACCUCCAGGAAGGAGAAUGAGAGCCAGACAGGAUGACUGGCGGGCCAGGACGCUAAAGGAUAAUCGUCAGGAAGGCGAUGAUGUCAGGAAGACAACAGGGAAAAGUUUUCAUGGACGAGCAGGGAGCGUCGAAGUAGCUGGAUAGCUGCAAACGAACCGGGGGCACUGUAUAACAGUGCCCCUUUUUAUGUCG